UUUAUGGAGAGUUUGAUCCUGGCUCAGGAUGAACGCUGGCGGCGUGCCUAAUACAUGCAAGUCGAGCGAACAGAUAAGGAGCUUGCUCCUUUGACGUUAGCGGCGGACGGGUGAGUAACACGUGGGUAACCUACCUAUAAGACUGGAAUAACUCCGGGAAACCGGGGCUAAUGCCGGAUAACAUGUUGAACCGCAUGGUUCUACAGUGAAAGACGGUCUUGCUGUCACUUAUAGAUGGACCCGCGCCGUAUUAGCUAGUUGGUGGGGUAACGGCUUACCAAGGCGACGAUACGUAGCCGACCUGAGAGGGUGAUCGGCCACACUGGAACUGAGACACGGUCCAGACUCCUACGGGAGGCAGCAGUAGGGAAUCUUCCGCAAUGGGCGAAAGCCUGACGGAGCAACGCCGCGUGAGUGAUGAAGGUCUUCGGAUCGUAAAGCUCUGUUGUUAGGGAAGAACAAAUGUGUAAGUAACUGUG
rnacentral:rRNA from 1 species